rnacentral:misc_RNA from 1 species
UAACUUUCAUUACAGAUAUUACUUUAAAAAAAUAUUUUCCUUGCCCAUACUAUUUACGCCUGUUCAUUUUGUAUACUUAGUCAAUGCCCUGGUUUUUAUUUAGUCAGUCCUUUGUCACUAAUGCUUACAUGCCCCUUAAAUAAAUGCCAGUUAACAUCAAUUGAUGCCAGUUAACAUUAAUUGAUUGAAGUUGUAACUGGUGUAUUAGAAAAAUGAAAAUGUUAAUGUACAUGUAUUUUACUAGUAUGCAGUUGUCGUUUUUCAAACAAGCAAUGGAGAAGAGGUAGAUGCUGUGCCAUUGUUUUGGCUUUCACAAGAGCGAACAUGUUGUGCUUGGCCUCCUCAAUCUACACCAAUUCAUAUGGUUGUAAAAGCAAUCAAGUCCAUGGAAAUGCCUGAAACAGAUUGGUUGCAGUUUACUGUAAAGUAUCUUGGAGUAUAUGAAGAAUAUGAAACUGCCAGAAAAAAGGCCAAGAAAGGAGAGAUUACCUCUGAUUUAGAUACAGCUACAUCUGGCACCAAAAUUAUAAAAUCAGAAAAACGAAAGAAAACAAAUGUUGAUGAUUUUCCUAAUGAAGAUGAUGUUGAUAACCAAUAUACGCAUAUGAAUGACAUUUUCAAGUGGUUAUGCUACACCCCAAUUGGAAACCACUAAUUAUUUACCACGCACUGAACAAGCAGUUUACGGUGAUGUCGUUAAGUUGCUUGUGGAAGUUAAAUAACAGAAUGAAGACAUAAAAUCUCAAAUUCAAAAUCUUUCUCAGCAACAAAAUAUGAUUUUGAAACAUCUUAAUUUAGAAGUUCAGAGAGGUAAUCCAAAGUUGCCUGAAAAUUUAAAUUUGCCAUUGCAAACUUUCGAACAGAUGCAAAGUUUUGAAAAGAAAUUGCGACUAUCAGCACUGGACAAGUUACAAUUAACUCCAUAUCUGGGCCUUCAAGGAGGUGUUACCGUGAAAGAAACUGUGAGACGAAUCAUGAAAAUGGUUAUGACUGACGAAUUGGCUAAAAGUUUCAAUUUUAUGGGCCAUGGAGAUAAACAUGCCUUUUCAGCACUACAGCCUAAGGAAAUCGUUUGUGAUUCCGUGCGCGCUAACUCAAUUACGAAAGAUGCCAAAAAUGCUGAAAUUGAGGCGUCUGUUAAAACGUGGCUUCGAGUAUCCUCAGAUUGAGAUAGAGGCCGUAGAAAGAGAGCAGAAGACAAAACAAAUACCGAAAACUUUUAG